CUAUGCGGACGACCGCAUGCGCAUCGUUUCAUCGGGGACGGCCCCA
rfam:Candidatus Burkholderia kirkii TZHbot1 genomic scaffold, BKIR_scaffold2